rnacentral:rRNA from 1 species
UGGGGAAUUUUGGACAAUGGGCGAAAGCCUGAUCCAGCAAUGCCGCGUGUGUGAAGAAGGCCUUCGGGUUGUAAAGCACUUUUGUCCGGAAAGAAAUCCUUGGCUCUAAUACAGUCGGGGGAUGACGGUACCGGAAGAAUAAGCACCGGCUAACUACGUGCCAGCAGCCGCGGUAAUACGUAGGGUGCAAGCGUUAAUCGGAAUUACUGGGCGUAAAGCGUGCGCAGGCGGUUUGCUAAGACCGAUGUGAAAUCCCCGGGCUCAACCUGGGAACUGCAUUGGUGACUGGCAGGCUAGAGUAUGGCAGAGGGGGGUAGAAUUCCACGUGUAGCAGUGAAAUGCGUAGAGAUGUGGAGGAAUACCGAUGGCGAAGGCAGCCCCCUGGGCCAAUACUGACGCUCAUGCACGAAAGCGUGGGGAGCAAACAGGAUUAGAUACCCUGGUAGUCCACGCCCUAAACGAUGUCAACUAGUUGUUGGGGGAUUCAUUUCCUUAGUAACGUAGCUAACGCGUGAAGUUGACCGCCUGGGGAGUACGGUCGCAAGAUUAAAACUCAAAGGAAUUGACGGGGUCAUAGCUG